rnacentral:rRNA from 1 species
GACGAACGCUGGCGGCGUGCUUAACACAUGCAAGUCGAACGGAAAGGCCCUGCUUUUGUGGGGUGCUCGAGUGGCGAACGGGUGAGUAACACGUGAGUAACCUGCCCUUGACUUUGGGAUAACUUCAGGAAACUGGGGCUAAUACCGGAUAGGAGCUCCUGCUGCAUGGUGGGGGUUGGAAAGUUUCGGCGGUUGGGGAUGGACUCGCGGCUUAUCAGCUUGUUGGUGGGGUAGUGGCUUACCAAGGCUUUGACGGGUAGCCGGCCUGAGAGGGUGACCGGCCACAUUGGGACUGAGAUACGGCCCAGACUCCUACGGGAGGCAGCAGUGGGGAAUAUUGCACAAUGGGCGGAAGCCUGAUGCAGCAACGCCGCGUGCGGGAUGACGGCCUUCGGGUUGUAAACCGCUUUCGCCUGUGACGAAGCGUGAGUGACGGUAAUGGGUAAAGAAGCACCGGCUAACUACGUGCCAGCAGCCGCGGUGAUACGUAGGGUGCGAGCGUUGUCCGGAUUUAUUGGGCGUAAAGGGCUCGUAGGUGGUUGAUCGCGUCGGAAGUGUAAUCUUGGGGCUUAACCCUGAGCGUGCUUUCGAUACGGGUUGACUUGAGGAAGGUAGGGGAGAAUGGAAUUCCUGGUGGAGCGGUGGAAUGCGCAGAUAUCAGGAGGAACACCAGUGGCGAAGGCGGUUCUCUGGGCCUUUCCUGACGCUGAGGAGCGAAAGCGUGGGGAGCGAACAGGCUUAGAUACCCUGGUAGUCCGCGCUGUAAACGGUGGGUACUAGGUGUGGGGUCCAUUCCACGGGUUCCGUGCCGUAGCUAACGCUUUAAGUACCCCGCCUGGGGAGUACGGCCGCAAGGCUAAAACUCAAAGGAAUUGACGGGGCCCCGCACAAGCGGCGGAGCAUGCGGAUUAAUUCGAUGCAACGCGUAGAACCUUACCUGGGUUUGACAUGGAUCGGGAGUGCUCAGAGAUGGGUGUGCCUCUUUUGGGGUCGGUUCACAGGUGGUGCAUGGCUGUCGUCAGCUCGUGUCGUGAGAUGUUGGGUUAAGUCCCGCAACGAGCGCAACCCUUGUUCACUGUUGCCAGCACGUUAUGGUGGGGACUCAGUGGAGACCGCCGGGGUCAACUCGGAGGAAGGUGGGGAUGACGUCAAGUCAUCAUACCCCUUAUGUCCAGGGCUUCACGCAUGCUACAAUGGCUGGUACAGAGAGUGGCGAGCCUGUGAGGGUGAGCGAAUCUCGGAAAGCCGGUCUCAGUUCGGAUUGGGGUCUGCAACUCGACCUCAUGAAGUCGGAGUCGCUAGUAAUCGCAGAUCAGCAACGCUGCGGUGAAUACGUUCCCGGG